rnacentral:misc_RNA from 1 species
CUUUUGGGGGGUGGGGUGGGGGAUAUUUUGCUGUUGAUUGCUUUAGUAUUGUUUUCAAUCUGUGAGGCUGUGAAACGUAUGCUUGAUUUUGGCCUUUUGGAUGAGUUGAAAUAUUUCAAUUCUAGUUGGUUCUGCAAUUGAGCUUUUGAUGUUCCCCUUAAAUAUAAUAAAAAGAAUAGCUUUAGAAAGUGCAGAUUUUCUUGAAUGGACUGUAAAUAUGGUUUCUGUGCUAUUUAUCUUCUUACAACAUAAAUUUUGUUUCUGGUUUUUGCAUUGGUGCAUCUACCAGGUGAUUCAUUUGUGUAGACUUAAAAGGUUUAGAAAUCAUGUUAUCUUGAAAAAUGAAAGGUCCGUCAAAUAGAAGCAGAGCUAAAGUAGCUUCUUAGACUAAUUUCUUAGCGUGUGAUGGAGAUCUUAGUUUAUGCCCUCCAAUAGUAAUGAUGGAGUGUUGUAUUAACCAUCAGUUCUGCAUUUUUAAUGAAAGAAGGAUAAGUAGUAUCUCUAAAUGCUUUUGCUUUCUUUUUCUUUCCACGAGUCUAAAUACCAAUCCUCCCACCCCCUUUAUGAACCAAUAAUUUGCCAAAUUUAAGGGGAUUCAAGUUUUGUAUUUUGUUUAUUUUGUAUGUAUUACACAGAUAUAGCUUUUCCAUUGAAAAUUUUCUCUAUUUUUGCCAUCAGAGAAGCAAAGAGAGUUCUAUAAGAAUGCAAAGUAUGUGAGAAUGUUUAAGAAAAAGCUAAAGCAACAAAAUCAGCCGGAUGAUCACUCUUCAGUUGUCAGACCUAUGGAGGUAUGGAAUUAUCUUGACCAUAUCAUCUCAAAAUAUCAGUUACCGUUUUCAUAAUGCCUUUAUCACUCUAAGGAAUUCGGCUUUAGAAUGUCAGUAUGGAAACUGUGUUGUGCUUGAAAUAUGAUGACAAAGGAUUUGGAUUUUUGUCGAAGAGGCAUGGAUCUUGGUUGGGAUUCCAAGUUGAAACACAUAGUAAUAUUAGCUUUUUUUGUUGUUAGUUUAAUAUAGUCAAAUUGUUGGUAUGUAAUAUUAUGGGUUUUUGAAUUAAAUUAGCUCCAAAUCUUAAAUUAAAUUUUUGGAGUCCAAAUGCACUCAAGAUUUAUAUGCAUGCAAAAUUUAAACCGAUUCAUUUACGGCUUCAAGUGUGAUUACAGGAUAAGAAUGAAAGUGGAGAAAGUAGUAAAAUGAUGAAGAAGAAGAAGAACAAGAAGAAUGGUUCCUACAGUUUGAGAGAAAUGUAUGAGAAGCAGCACAAAGAGAAAGAGGAAGCAAGAAUUGAGAGGGAGGCUAUUAUUAAAGCAAAGAAGGAAGAAAGAGAUAAGGCUUUAGCUCAUAGAAAAGCUGAAAGAGGGAAGAUGUAUAAAAAGACCCGGCAUGGUCAGCCUGUUAUGAAGUAUAGAAUUGAGCAUCUCUUGCAGACCAUUCAAGGUUCAAACUAAAUUUGGUUAACCCUUCAGAACCAAGCAUGUUUCUCAGUCAUGCCUUGGCCACUUGCAUGCCUAACAAAAGCCAUCGGCUGGUGGAGUUUCUAAAUGUUGUGUUGUUAUUGCUUGAAAGCUGAUGGAAAAGUUGAGUUGCUGUUGAACAUCAGUUUUCAAGAGAUUUUGACAGUCCAUAGGAAAAACAAUUUUGAUGUGGUGCUGGAGACAUUUUGAUUGCAUUGUAAUUAUUUCUCAAAUCUGGCAUAUUUAGUCUUUGUGCUCAUUUCUACAAGGACUGCAAUCAUAUGGUUUAUAUAUCUACGAAUUUGUAUUGGAAGUUAA